CUGGUCGCCAUGGAGCUCGCCUAUAGGUUUUCUCAAACUCCUCGCCGCCGGUUUUCUCAAAUUGUCAAUUUGAGAAAACCUCUACACCCGGAUCCGCCGCUUCCUCGAACUCCUCGCCGCCGGCUCUCCUCAGCUCCGCCGACUCGCUUCGCUGUCCUCCUCGCCCCAGGCCCCAGCCUCCUCCUGAUCCCAGAUUCGCCUCGCCGGCCCCAGGCGCCCGCCACGAGCGCCGUCAAGCGAAGCCGUUCUUCCCUGGUGCGUGCCGCUGGCGUAGCUGCCAGGCUCCUUCCGCCGGAGCACGUCGCGGCCAGCUGGUCCCUUGCUCGUCCUCCACCGUCGUCGCGGCGGACUUCGUCCCCCUCCCGAAAGCACAGAUCCGCACGGUCUCGGCUGCAUUUCUCCACUUGCUGGUAAGGAAGCUCGCUCCGAUGGAUUACUCCGAGGGUUAGUUCCGCCCUGGUCUUCCGUUUCUACGCUGCCAGCAAUCAAG
rnacentral:misc_RNA from 1 species